UCAACAAAAUGCAUAAGCAUACAAAUCUCCAGGUCCGACAUAUAGACAAUAUCUCAAAAUAUAAACACGUUUAGCAAAGAUCUAGAGCUAACGACGCAACCCUAAAUCAGAGCCAACUCUACUCCUACGACCCGAUAGUGAAGAAAGCUCCCACUAUCCAACCACAACAAAACUCACUGAUCGACUAGUCCUGCACAACGUCUACUUACCCAUACAGGCAAGCAGGCGGUUAAAACCAUUGAGGGUGAGUAUUACAUCAACAUAAUCAACCACAUAUAUAUUUCAAAAUAUCAUGUAUGAAUCAAUAAAUAUAUUUCAUACAUAUAUCAUCACUACAAUUCAAUCUCACUAACAUAUAUAUAUAUAUAUAUAUAUAUAUAUAUAUAUAUAUAUAUAUAUCAUCAAUAAUCAUCAUUUCCAAUUCCACCAAUUCCAUGAGUUCAUUAAUUGACAUAAUUAAUCAUAACAUGAUACAACAAUCCAUUGAAUGCAAACAUCACCAUGAAUCAUUCACAAUCACAAGCAUAACAAGUAAUUUCACAACUAGGACUCAUGCCACAUCAUGAUAUGAUCCUAGACACCACUCUAUAUGCAUGCGGUACCGGUCUCACCAAUAUUUAGGCCAUCGCCCAUCACACCAAUAAUACUCACCAAUGUGGAUAUAUAUAUAUAUAUAUAUAUAUAUAUAUAUAUAUAUAUAUAUAUAUAUAUAUAUCCCAUCAUCACCAAUAUGGAUAUAUAAAAUAUCCGCCACCAUCAGGCAUGUAUGCAUGAACAUAUGACUCAACAACAAUGCAUAUGUUCCCACAACAACUCACCAUAUUCACACCAAUAUUACUUGCAUAAUUGCAUUCACACCAAUUCACACCAAUAUUAUUCGCAUAAUUGCAUUCACACCAAUUCACACCAAUAUUAUCCGCAUAAUUGCAUUCACACCAAUUCACACACCAUAUAUAUAUAUAUUCACCCACCAUAUCAUAAUAAACAACGUAUAUGGUUUCAUCAAUAUCAAUACAUGAUUCACAACACUCAACAAACAUCGAUUAUCACGUGUGGUUCCACCAAAUCAAACACUUUCAUAUUCCAAGCAUGAUAACAUAAUAUAUCUCAUGAUAACCAUCAUAUUCCAAAUCCAUUAAUACAUACUCAAUCAUUCACUCUAAAUACUUUAUUAAACCCAAUAACAAAGUUUGUAAAGGUUUCACGACUCAUAGAAAAAGUUAUGUUAAGUUUUAACAAAAGUUCACAUGACCCACGUGUAGUAAAUUACUCAUAACUUAAGUUAUAAAAAUCAUUUGAAUGUCAAACCAAAGCCAUUAGAACAACAACAUUUUUAUCUAGAACAUUCAUGUUUUUACCCCAAAGUCAGAAUCAAAACAGAAAUAUGCGAAAGGGAGUAAGAACGCGAAACAGGGGGAGCUGAUACUGGGUUGCUCGCCUCGCGAGCAAGUGCUACUCGCCACGGCGAGCAAUUCCAGUAGCUACUCGCCACCAGCUCGCCUCCUACUCGCCUCGCGAGUAAUGACAGAUAGCAGAAAAUUCUAUUUUCGUGAAAAACCCAUUUUCACCCAAAAAUCCCAAUUUUUGACUUCCCAAUACCCAAAUUGAUUCCAAAGGUUUACCCAAAUGUUUUUAGACAUGAAAAGAUACUUAAACCAAAUAUAAACUUGAAUCAAACAGCAAUUUGAACAAAACAGCAUUUGACCCAUUUUCUGAAAACAACAACAACAUCUCAUUUCUCAUCAUUAAUCCACAAUUAAGUAUACCCAAGUCAUAAUUCACCCUCAACAACAUGUCUAAGCAACAACAACAUCCAUUGGAACUUGAUUCACACUCAAUUCAAUAACAACUCAUCAUAAACCAUCAAUUAAGCAUAAUUUCACAACUUAACAUUUAUACAUACUUUGAAACAUGUAAUUUCACCCACAAACAUACCAUAAUCAUCAAUUCAUGCACAAGAAAAUAGCAUCACAGCAAGAACACGAAUUUAACAUCAAUUGUUCCUCAGCCCAUUUUCAUACAACAUGAGAAAAUGCAAAAAUUGAAAUUGAUUAUGAUGAAGACAAACCCCCUUACCUUAGAUGAUGUUUAAUCUUAACUUAGGCUUCACUUUAGCUCCUAAUUGCUUCAAUCUUCAAGUUUCCCCCUUUCUCUAACCUUGUUCUUCCUUCACCUCUCACUCUCUCUCUAACUCUUUC
rnacentral:lncRNA from 1 species